GCCGGAAGUCCCGUUCUCUGGGGAGCGGGAACCCUGGCGACCCGUGUCAUGGGAGCGGGUUUCUGUUACGUGGGCUUUAGCGCGAGCUGGGCGGUCGGCCCGGUCCCACCGAACUGCAUAGGGCCGUGUAGCCGGGGGAAGUCAGCCCCCUGCUCUGAGAAGCAGACUCUGCAUCUGUAAAAGGCUAAGCGUGCCCACUGGGGCCUGUGGUCAGGAUUGGCUGCAGUGAGGUCCGCAAAGCCCCUACCGCAUCCUGCGCCUUCGUUAGGGUGAGCAGUCAUGGGGACUCGCAUUGUGCCACCACGUAGCGGGUCUCACUGGGUCCGCUUGUCUGCUCGAGGAGACAGCCGGUGAGGACGGGAGCUGGCCUGCUUUGCCCAGGCUGUAACCUCAGCCUCCGCCCAUACCCACAGUAAGCAUCCAUUCCAUUGAUAUUCGCUAAAUGAGUGAAUUAUUACUAAGACAGAGGGCCGAGUGGAAGCGCCAUAAAUCACGUGAGUGAAUGUAAUUGUUGUCGCUGACCCUAUGGAGCACUUCCCUUGCCAGGCACUCACCCAUCCUAGGUAUGUACUUUACAUGUAAUUGUCAUCUUCAUUUGUCUUCACAACAACCCUGUGAGGUGGGUGCUGUGGUUACUCCCAUUUUACAGAUAGGUAACUGAGGCACACAGAGCAUUUUGUUCAAGGACACACUGCCAGUCAGGGGUAGGAGCAGAAUGAGAACCUAUGGAGCUUGCUCUUAGGCACCCUGCCACACUGCUCACUGUGGGAGAGAAGCAGCCAGGCAGACGUGUGCAGCUUGGAAUUCCUUGCACACAUGGCUGCGGCAGGUCAAUUAGGUGCCCUGGUGUGUGCUGCAAAGAUGGAUACUAUGCGGUCCCUGCUGGGCACUCUGACUACUUCACUGGGCAGCUAGUUUUCCUGUUCACCAAGAGAAUUCUUUCCCAUGGCUUGUCUCAGACCUCCCGCACUCACUACUUCCUCACCGGACUCAAUGACCAUGGGUCUUAUCCCAUUGAGAAAAUGUAAUGCAUAAGAAUGGAAUGCACUCCUUCACAAUCACUUUGGCAUUCAUCGCCUCUUUUCCUCUUGCCCCAAAAGAGGGUCUCUUACAGAGGCCAGUCCCUCUAACUGUGUCCUGGAUCCCUCCCCAUUUGCCUUCUUUAUUAUAGGCAGUGCUCUAAGUGUGGUCUGGGAAUCCCUGGGGAUCCUGAGACCCUUUCAGACUGUCCAUGGGGCCAAAAAAUACUUUCAUAACACUUAAGACUUUACUUGCUUUUUCAUUGUUUUUCUCUCAUAAGUAUAUGGGGGGAUUUUCCAGAAGCUACAUGAUGUGUGAUAUUGCAACAAAUUGAAUGCAAAAGAAGGUAAGAGAUCCAGCGGUCUUGUACUAAGCCAGAUGUUAAAGAGAUCUGCAAAAAUAGAAAACUGCCCCUCUUUUCACUUUUUUGGAAAGUGUAAUUUUUCAUUAGAGAACGUUAACAUCUAAUGGGUUUAUUAUUUUUAAUGAGUUAAUAAAUUUUUUAUCAAUUGUAUUUUCUAACAUGGUAAAUAUUGAUAGAUAUAAACAUAAAUAAAAGUUUUUUGGGAUCCUCAAUACUUUUUAAGAGUGUGAAUGGAUCCUGAGGCCAAAAAGUUUGGUCCUGAGAUCAAAAGGGCUUCAGUUAUUCCCUCUCUCAUGAUAGCCAAGAGUCUCAUUCUUUCUCUUUCUCUCUUUCCCUCCUUCUUGGAACAUGCUCUAGUAUCUCACAUCUUUAAAAAAAAAAUAGAUGAUCUUCUGGUUUCCACCCCAUUUCUCUGCUCCUCUUUAACCUGCUUCUCAGUAGAGCUGUCUAUACAUGCUGUCUUUCAGUUACCAAAUUUCACAGAAGCGUGACUCUCAUUGCCUGGUAACUGGCAUUCUCACAAAUACUUCUUCUCUACUUGGCCGUACAUUACUUGACCUCUCAGUAGCAUUCAGCCCAGUUGAUCACUCCUUUCUGCCUGAAAUACUUCAGGCUUCUCUAAUACCACACCAACUACUCAAUUCUUGGGCCCCACUGGUGACUUCCCUCCUCUGUGUGGCCUUUGGAUGUUAGGGCCCCUCUGACCCUGUCGUAGGUCCUGCUGUUAUGCUUCUCACCAGCCUUGACCCCUCUACUGGAAUGUACUGGAGAUCACUCAGACUUAAGCCAUCCAUAUUGCCCUUGAUCCACUCACCUCCCUCACUCACCUAUUACUUUUUUUUUUUUUUCGAGACGGAGUCUUGCUCUGUCGCCUAGACUGGAGUGCAAUGGUGCGAUCUCGACUCAGUGCAACCUCCACCUCCCAGGUUUCAGCAAUUCUCUGCCUCAGCCUCCCGAGUAGCUGGGAUUACAGGCGUGAGCCACCAUGCCCAGCUGAUUUUUGUAUUUUUAGUAGAGACAGGGUUUCACCAUGUUGGCCAGGCUCGUCUUGAACUCCUGACCUCGUGAUCCGCCUGCCUCGGCCUCCCAAAGUGCUGGGAUUACAGGUGUGAGCUACUGUGCCUGCCCGCACUCACCUAUUCCAAAGCAAUGCUCAAACUAGGAAGCCUUGUUGUUACCCUCAAUGAUCACUACCUCAUACCCCAUAUCUAGUGCUUCAGCAAGUCUUGUCGAUUCUAACACCAGAAUACGUACAUGGUAGCAAUCUCAUCCAUUCUCUCCAAGUUCCCCUGCACUACCUUGCCUUAAAAGCCUUCUUAUGCUAAAAAUAAAAAUCUUUAAAACAGCAUGCAGGGCCACUGGGACCAUCCUACAACCUCAACCUCAUUCUCCCCCCAGGAUCGCUAUGGUCACAAAGCCCAGAAGCCAGCUUGAAUGGGGCUCCUGCUGGCCAGAAUAAUGAAGGACAGUAAAAGAAAUAGGAGUCAUGAGUCCAGGCCCAGGAGCGAUGGACAGAUAGAAUAAAUGCAGGACAAGGGAGGGCACGUGCUUGCAGUAGCAGGCCUAGGGACAAAUGGUCAUGCAGGAGGACUAGAGCUGAAAAGCCAUCAUGUUGCAACCACUGAGUGAAGAUUGAUUCAGGCAAGGAUCAUUCACGGGUGCUUCAUCUCGGGGUUCUUUGGAUGGGGAGCAGGAUAUUUGCAUUGUUUUAAAGGAUAGUCCCACAGAUCACUUAUUACUUACAGGAGAAAAAGUAGUCAUAAUACAAAAGAAAAAUGGACAAUGCUUGGAUACCAUAAUAAAAAUUAACACUACCAACAAGGAGCAUGGACAUUGUGUGGCUUCAGAUGUAAUGUGAAGGACAACCUCCGUUGAAAAGGGCAACUGCUGUAGUAUUCUAAUCUGGAAUGCAUCACCUAAUCCUAUCAUAAGAAGACAUUAGGAAAAAAAAAAUAAAGAUAAUUCCAUUUUUUUAAUGGUUUUUGGUGUUUUGUUUGUUUGUUUGUGACAGAGUCUCGCUGUGUUGCCCAGGCUGGAGUGUAGUGAUGCGAUCUCAGCUCACUGCACCCUCCACCUCCUGGGUUCAAGCGAUGCUGCUGCCUCAGCCUCCCAAGUAGCUGGGAUUACGGGCACACACCACCAAGCCCAGCUAAUUUUUGUAUUUUUAGUAGAGAUAGGGUUUCACCAUGUUGGCCAGGCUGGUCUUGAACUCCUGAUCUCAAGUGAUCUGCCUGCCUCAGCCUUCCAAAGUGCUGGGAUUACAGGCAUGAGCCACUGUGCCCAGCCUGUAACUUACUUUCAAAUGCUUCUGAAAAAAUUAUGUAUUGAUAGAUAGCAAAUAAUAAAGCAAUUGGGGCAAAACGUGCACAGUUUAAGUGGAUCUGAGAAAGGGAGUUGUAUUAGAUAGGGCUGCGGUAACAAAUUUCCACAGACUGGGCAGCUUGGACAACAGAAAUGUAUUGUCUCACAGUCCUGGAAGCAUCUUCAAUCCAAAAGAACCUGAGGGAUAAUUUUAGGUGAUAAACCCUGGCCAAUGUCUGGCUGUGUGGGCAAACAUGGAAUUCUAGUAGGGAAUACCUUAAUGUCUUUUGCACUGGCCUGCUCUCAACAGUGAAGCAGGCCGGGCACGGUGGCUCAUGCCUGUAAUCCCAGCACUUUGGGAGGCUGUGGCAGGAGGAUCACCUGAGGUCAGGAGUUCGAGACCAGCCUGGCCAACAUAGUGAAAUCCCAUCUCUACUAAAACUACAAUGAUUAGUCAGGCGUGGUAGUGGGCACCUGUAAUCUCAGCUACUUGGGAGGCUGAGGCAGGAGAAUUGCUUGAACCAGGGAGGCGGAGGUUGCAGUGAGCCAAGAUUGCGCCACUGCACUCCAGCCUGGACAACAGAGCGAGACUCCGUCUCAAAAAAAAAAAAAAAAAAAAAACAACAGUAACAGUGACGCACACAUAAGUGGUGUACAACUGGAUCAAUGUAGCCAAGAACCCAGAAACUCAAAACCCUUGCUGAUUUCCUUGAACCCAAGGAUAAUUUUUCUAUAUGUUGAAAUGACUAAUUAGAUGAGUCCAUCAUGAAGUUUUGUCACGUGAUUCUCUCUUUUUUCUCCUUAAAGAUCAUCUUCAAUCCAGAGGGUUUUCCUUGUUCCAGGAAACGUCUCACCUCCAUGUGCAGAUUUAAUUUUUACAGAAACUGAAAUUUCCCUCAUUUAUUAUCUAGAUGAGCCCCUAAAAUCUAUUCAAUAAGGUUUGAUCUUUGAUGGAACAGACCAGAGUUGUAUAAUGUGACAGUGGCCCCAAGGAACAGUUUGUAGGAGGAGAUUGUUGUCUUCUCUGAAAAAAACUUCCCAGAAGACAUUGAUGGUUCCCUUAGGUGCCCUGCAGUGGGUCCACUUCCAACAGGCUGAAGCCUGGAUUUGGUGGGUGAGGGUCCUACCUUUUCCUAGAUACCAUUCAGCAUCACUGAAGCCAGUAAACUCACCUCCUGAGGAACCGUUACCAUCUGUACUAUUUACACCCAUGGCAUGAGUCUGCUGCUCAAGACCUUUGAUGAGAAUCUUGAAAAGGAAACCAUGAAUUGCUGGAGAAAAUAUCUUUACACUUAUAUGCAACAGAUGGUCCAUUCCCUCAGUAUUCAAGAAGAAACUCUGGGAUCAUGGAGACCUGGGUGACAAUCACCCUCUGCCCACCCUGCGGGUUUUGGGGGCUUGGAGCUGGUUUUCACCACAAUUCUGUACACCUAAGAGACUGGGCCGUAAGAUCGAGCCUGUAAUUAUCUCACAGGCAUCAGUGAUGAUGUUACGAAUGCAGAUUAUGCCUUCAUGUGGAGAAAGAAACAGUAGGGGCUGAUUAGCCACGAAGAAGUUAAGUACUGGUUUCCACCAUGUCUAUUAAUAAAGAAGGGAAGAAGAGCAAGUACGUGGCAGGGAUGCGUAGCGUGUCCACAUGGAAGCGGAGAGCCUCUCCCUCUCAGAAAUCUGCUUCCCUGACUGCUGUCCUUUUGGUAGUCUCAUAAAAUGGAGACAAGAUUCUCUUCAGCUGUCCUGAGGAGGAAAAAAAAAUAUGACAUAAAAAUAAAUGAGGUAUAAGUAGCUCUUUUGGAAAAGCUACUGUGGUUAUUUUUUCUUUAUUAAAAUAGCUGCUUUAUCUCUCGAAUAUUUACCUUGACAGAUGACGCAGCUGCUCGUUUUAGUUCAAUCAGCCAGAAACUAAAUUGCACAUGUUAAACGUUGUCACUACAAAUAAUUGAUGAUUACUUGUAAACAGGGGGCCAUUUGAGGAUCUAUCUGAGGAUCCUCCAUGGAGAGCGGCUCUCCACAGGCUCAGCAAAGCACCUAGGCAUGUUCUCUUUCCCCUUUAAGAGACUGAUAUACUAUUAAGCUCUUAAUUUCCUUUAAUAGCUACUGGUUGUUUCCUUUCACGGAAAGAAGAAUAAAAUCCACUUAUGUUGCUCCUGAACAAGAUUCCGUGGUGUCGAACACUGAUAUUUAGAAUUUUAAUGAACCCUGGCUGGGCGCAGUGGCUCACGCCUGUAAUCCCAGUGCUUUGGAGACCGAGGCGGAGGGAUCACCUGAGGUCAGGAGUUCGAGAUCAGCCUGGUCCACAUGGUGAAACCCUGUCUCUACUAAAGAUACAAAAAUUAGCCAGGCGUGGUGGCAGGUGCCUGUAAUCCCGGCUACUCAGGAGGCGGAGGCAGGAGAAUCGCUUGAACCCUGGGAGGUGGAGGUUAAGGAGAGCUGAGAUCGCACUACUGCACUCCAGCCUGGGUGACAGAGUGGGACUCUGUCUCAAAAAAUAAUUUUAAUGAAACCUGCCUCCCAAACAUUAUAUUGCAGCAAUCUUAGAAGAAUGCACCACCUCUGGAAUAGAGAAGCAGUUGGGAAAGAAGUGUUUCAUGUUUCCUACACCUGGGCAACAGGCAGGCCCCUGACAACCACAAGUAAUUCUUUCCUGAGAGCCGGGAUCUUGCAACAGCUUGUCAUUAGUGCUGUUUAGCAUUUAAUUUGCCUUUAGUUAGGUAACAAGCAUUUAUGGAUUACCUGUUAGGAACGAAUGCACAGUAUGGGAACAGAGGGAUGAAUGAGGCACAGACUCUGCUCACAGCCUACUUGGACUAGAAAUAUCUACUCAGGAAAGAAAACUUGAAAGCAGUUAGCAAAUGCAAACCGAUAUACCACUACAGGGAAUCAUCACUCUUUCCGAAUUCAAGGCUCUAACUGCUGGCACACUUCUAAGGAAAAAAGAUAUGCGUUUCUGCAUCCCGUCUCAUGAUGGGAGUGAAGAUAUGCCAGUCACGCCUUCUGUGGGCUAAGGAACGGUCCGGCCUUCUCUUCCUCUGCAGAGUCCGGGCGUGAUGGAGACGCAGGAUGGAGGCAGCCAUCACCCAUUGAAAAACAGCCUGUCUGCCAGAUCUGGUGACCCCCCCCUAAGGUCCUUGGUAAAAACUGAGGCCUAGUUGUGUCCAGGAUGGCAGUGAGCUGGGAUUCAUUCAUGGCAGCCCCCAGGAGAUUGCGUUUUUAAACCAGCCCAAGGCAUGUGGUGGACAUGGAUUGGCAGCACCUACAGAUAACGGGGAAGGCUUUCCAAGGGGCCAAACGGUCCAUAGCAGUUAGGGAAGCGAACGUUAGAAGUGCAGGUCAAGGUCUCAGAGUGAGCAGUGUGGCUGGGCCAGAGAGGGCCUUCCAAGUGCAUAGCCAGUGGAGGCAGCUGGACACAGCUGACAUGACAAGGCAAGGCUGGAUCCGUCAGACUCUGGGAAUGCUCCCAGCCAUCAGGCUUCACGGAGCACUGCUUCUGUGCUAAGUUCCUGAUGCCAAGGAAAGUGAGAGAGACAUGGCCCUGGCCUCAAGAAGCUUUCCCGGCAGAUGGCCGUGUAUCCGGGAUAUGUUAAGGGAGGUGUAAUAUUAACCAAAAGUGGAGCUCUGAGCUCCUACCCUUGGCAGAGGGCUUCUUGGAGUAGAUCAUGCCUGGACUGUGCCCAAGGGCGUCUUGGAGUAGAUCGUGCCUGGAUCGCACUGAAUCAGUGUAAGCUGGGUCAAGUCGGGGAAUGGCAACCCAGGCGGAGGGAAGUGCAUACUUGGGACACGGAGGGCACAGACAAGCCGUGGUUCUCUGGCAGUGAGAUGGGUGCCAGGCCACAAACUGGAUCUGAGAGAUUAUUUCCCCAUCUGGGAACUGCAUGUACUAUGGAUUGUAAAGGGUCAACCUGAGAGACAGAAACAGGGAAAAGGCCCUCAACCAUUCACUUCAGUGUCUGGGGAUGCGUGGACUGGGGAAGAGUCUCUGGCUGGCUCCAAUGCGGUCUCUGCUUCUGCAGAGGGGGCCUUGCUCACACAGUCUUCAGACUUGCAUUCCCAGCUGGUGCCCAGCACCACGAAUAUAUGGGAAGAUAACAACUCUAAAGAGGGAUAAAAUGUAUUUUUUGGUCGGUUUUUAUUUUUCAAACACAUUUAGCAUUCUCUGGUUUUUAAAAAAUGCUUUUAAUAGAGCACAGACUCCUUUCCUCAGUGGUGAGGAGACAGAUUUAAGGGCUGUAGCUCAGACAGUCAGUGCCAGCUAGCAUUCAGGGAUCCAAGUGUGAGAAUCAAAUUGUCGUUUGAUGUGUGGAUUUGGCAAAGGCUCAGCACGCCUUGGAGACGGUGCCCGUGGCCCACACUGGGUGGCAGGUGCUUCUGCCUUGGGCUCUCUGCUCCUGCCGGCCGGGCCUGUCAUCGGCUGAAAAGCCGGCAUCUCCCACACCCAUCAGCUCCUCUCUGGAGCUGAGUCGCUGGACACUGUGACCACACUUAAGAGGCACAGCAUGCUCCUGCUGGGUGGAAUUUUAGGACACCUGGUCUGUGACCUCUUCAUUAUGACAUAAAAGGGACCUUCCCUGCAGUCCCACAAAUAGGAACAGAGCAGCACUGGAGCUGGCGCCCGACUCCCGGCAGGGAAGGGUUCUGUCCUCAUUUGGGCGUAUUCUGUUUCUGCCCACCUGGUGUGUGCCCUCCCUGACUCCUGCCCCAUUUCCAGACCCGGCUCACGCGUACUUCUCACACUAAGCAGUCUCACUGAAGCCACCGCUUGGAAUCUGCGGUGUUUACUGUCUGCCCCGCCCCUUUUGUUUGCCCGUUUGUUAUGGAGGUGUGUGUUUAAACGGGCAAAGCAGCGUGCUGCCAGGGACACCAGGAAAGCCCACUUAGCCAUCAACUGGAGACUCUGACAACUAGAAGAAACCUGGAAGGCCACGUGACAGAUAUGGAGACAGGCUGAGAGAAGAGUGGAAGAGGAUGUCAAUGGGCAGGAAUGGAGCCAAACUCUACGGGAGAACGGAGCUGGCCAGGCAGAGCUGCUGGACACCUGAGGCUCCCUCCUUCCACCACAAACACCACUGCCCCAUGGCCUAGAGAGCUCCAGGUGAGCACAGCCAGAACCAUGCUCAGAAGCCAGCACACGAAGGCCUGCAACUGCAGACCCCUAAGAAACCUUGGAGAUGCUCUCAGACAGUGCCCACCUCACUUUGCAGAUGGAGUGACUCACAGCUGGGACAAAGGUCCACUCGCUCUUGCCCCUGCAGUCUACCCACAAAGCAGCCAGGAGAGCUUCUAAAAAUGCAAAGCAGGUGGCGUUCUUCUGAAUAAGCCCUCCCAUGGCUCCCUAUCUUAGUACAAAAGCUGAAAUCUCAUGACCUGUGAGGCCCUCCAGCUGGCUCGCAGCCACCCCUCCAAAACCGAGUGCCUGCCAGCGCAUUGCCCACCCAGCUGCAGCCAGGCCCCCCACUGCUCAGCACCAUCUCCUCAGAGGCCCCCCCAUUCUUCCACGGGCAUGUUCCCUAUCCCCUUAGAGCACGCUUGGGCCUGAACUGAUCUUGGGUUCUGUCGCCUGUCUACCCCACUGGAAUGCAAACUCCACAGAGGCAGGGCUUUCUCUGUCCCCUGCCGCAUCCACAGUGCCGGGAACAGUGCCUGGCAUGGAGCAGGUGCAGUCGAAUGACCGACUCCAUGAAGUGAGGUGAGUCACCCACCACGCAGGGAAGAGUGGACAUGGGUAAACAGGCGCUGCCUGGGCUCCAGGCACACUGACUGCAUCCUGGCUGCUUGACUGAUGUGGUUAAUAAAUUACUAGAAGGCAAGCCCUCUAGGGCACAGCAGACUGGAUACUUGAUUAACCCAGGGUCUGUGUUAAUUCCAGGUGCCAAAAUAAUUUCUAGAAUUUCACCUGAGACCUAGAGGUAGUUCAUUUGAAAAUAAACAUGAUUUUCCAGAAGGCUCGAGCUUUCUCAAGGAAAGCAAUGCCCUGGACUCUCCUUCCACAGGAAAUCAGGAAGACAGGCUUUGGAAUUCCCAGUGGGGAAGCACAGUUGGAGGGGCCGGCCUCGGGCACCACAGUGCGCAACGCUGAACACAGGGCUCCCAGGCAGAGACUGGGAGGUCCCGACACCUGGACCCACAGGUGCACCCGCAUCUCCCAUGCUUUUACCCUUUCUCCUCCACCCCAUUUAUAGAAGUGAUCAGAGGUGAAUGAGGAAAUAGUGGGGGAACUGACCCCCUGGAAAGUCUGAAUUUGAGUGAAAUAAUGGGGAGAAGUGAACCCCUGGAAAGUCUGAAUUCUGCUUCAUCAAAGCCCAACACGGGCCUGUUUCCCUCUGCUGUCAACCCCAGGGAAUGGGGUGUCAACGGGGCCCACAGUCAUAUUGUCCCAAGCACCGACAGCACCGCUGCAGGGACCCCUCUACCCCCACAAGCAGAAACGCUCGACGCAACGCCGGGAACAUGUCUUUAUUAAAGAUGCAAGCAAGCACAGAAGGAUCAUGUGUAGUGCUCAGUAACAUCCAUACAGUACUAAAAAUAGAAAAAUAUAAAUGAAAUUUCACAGAAAGCAGCCUCCCUCACAGAAACACAGGCAAGGUGCUGCCGAGCCCACCAUGCGAUGCCACGUGCCACCUGCCUGGCCACGCUUCUCCCCAUUACAAACAAAAACACAAGCUUCUCUCUACACCCGUUUCAAAUACAGCACCAAGAACGGAGACCCCUUCCACAGCAGCGACCCUCCUGACCACCACUUUGGGUGCUUUCCAGCCACAUAAAUGACAGACAACCCCGGUCCCCACGGGGUUGGCUGGCUACUGGCCCCCGACUCUCCAUCGCUUCAGCGAAUGUGGGUGAGAAAAUUAGGCAGUGAAGCAAUAAAGACCUCACCUUUACUCCCUCAGAUACACGGAGGGAUGAGGUGGACAGACACGCAGGCGGCCGUGCCAACCUGAUCCGAGUGAAACAGGGCUACACUCGCAAAAUGGUCCUCCCACGGCUGAGCGCCUCAGGUGCACAGAACAAACUGAAUGAUAAAGACCCGGGGAUUUUAGAAAUUUACUAUUAAGCAUCUGCUUGCCAGCAUUAGUAGGCUAUCACUUCAGGAAACAAAGUAAGGCUGUGGAAUUCAGCUCAAAUUCCGAGCGCAACUCGGUCCUUUGGUGGCCGACUCUCCACCCACUGCAUGCAAAUGCUCCUGACUGCAUUAGACUCCCACCUGCCAGCCUCACCAGGCAGACUUCCCUCAGCACAUGCUCCGCGGGCUCCUCUGCAUUGGGCCUUUGGAGCCGCCCGCUGGAAGUCUCUGGCAGAAGGACGUCCAUUCUGAAGACCUAGUGAACAAUUUCUGCUCAUUUCAGGAAGGUUCUGAAGAAGUGAACUCCGUCAGAAUAAACAAGUGUCCAGAUUCCCCCCAACAGACCCAACUCAUCCUCUGUUCUCACCACUAUCUCAGAACCAAGUGAGAACAGAAUGGCUGUGCCUUAGAUAAUAAAACUACAAAAAUAAAGAGUUAACCCUGAGAUCUUUCUACCAUUCGGGUGUGGCUCGCUCCUGAUUCCCCUUGGAAAUGAACUUUUAUUUGGUUUACUGACAUUUAUGUAGAUUUCCAGUGAAAAGCUCUAUAAAAUACAAUAAUACGGGGUUGAAAAGGCAGACAUUCUAGUUGCAUAUAUUACAGGCUUUAUCCUUACGGUCCAGGCCAUUGGAACUGCAAUGUGGAGACUGUUUGUAAUCAGACAUGGAGAGGCUGCACGUUCUAAAGGCGAGACAGCUGCUUUCGGUUGGGAAUCAUCACACUCCCUCCGCUCACGCCGCUCUUCCCUUCCCCCGCUGUUUCACACGCUGCUUCCAGAGUUUGUCCAGCAAGGAAUAAAUGAAUGCAUACAGGACUUUUGGCUAGUAGACUGUCUGGGUAUUGUGAGCAUGCAGGUUGUUGUUUCUGUUAUUAUAAAUAAAAGUCAAACGUGAGGUCACACUUUCCCAUCUUCUGUUUAUACACCAAGUCAAACUUCUCAUUCAUGGAGACGGUGAAGAUGUCCUUCCACAGCCCAACUCUUCCUGAAACGCAAACAAGAGAACUGCUGGGGCCACUUGCUGUCCGGCCAGCUACUGAACUAAAGGAAGCCUUGGAAAUGGAUCUGGAACAUUCCAGAUCUAUUCCUGGAUCCCUUUGAACUUGGCCUAUGGGGGCAGGAAGGGCCGUCUGAGCUACAGACCAGGUGGUCCCCUAACAUUUGUGAAACUACUGGAUGCGGCAGAACAUGACCUGAACCAGCUUCCCUCUGAGGCUGUGGCACAGUGAGCCACAACCACCUCCUGGUGCCAUUCCACACCCCCCGCUGGGGCCCACCAGGGAGACUCUACUCCUGUUCAGUGCUGGGUCCCCAGCACCUAGAACGGCACCUGGCACGUGGCAGGUGUUUAAUAAACAUCCCAGGAGCGAGUAUGAUCUGCCGCGGGAGUGCACUGCUCUGGGCAUCACAGGCAGCCCUGGCCCUUCCCACGCCAUUAUCCACUCACAGCUCAACAGUGCCACCAAGGCGUCAUUGGCUUCGGGAGAAUUUGAAAAGGAAAAAAAAAUCAUUCAAAGUGCAGAAAAUUUUACACUAAGUAGGAAGCCCUCCUGACUGGGCCAAAGAUGCAGAUUUCAAGAAGCCUGCCCUGGCAAACCCUGGGGAGGAAUUUAAAGUGAAUCAAAUAGUCGCAGCAUUAGCUAGCUUUACAGACUAGAUGCAAAACAUGCACUGCAGUGAGAAUUCCCUGAGUCAACAAUAAAAUGAGUCUGGGCACAGCCCCCAGCUGCUCUAGCCCAGGCUUAGUCAGAAACCCAGACCUCUUCCUGGCAGCCACAAGGGAGGGCUGAGCUGUGGGAUAAACUGCAGGCACCGGUCUACGCUGGUUUAUGAAGGCUUUGGAAAAACGAAAGACAGCUCAACAUGACAAGAGAAGUUGUUGCUCCCAUUGUCUUUGUUAAUAUAAAAUCUUAGGUUGGUCUAGUCCAAUAGCAACGGUGACCGUGAAGAUGUCUGGGGCGGGGAUUCCAAACUUCCCAGUUAUGGGAGCUGUGAGCACAUCACCCGAGUACUGCCUCCCUGCUUUUGAAGAACUGCUCGUUUAGAAUUCUUUCCAUUGUCAGCUCUCUGAGAUCAGAGCUCUGUCUCCAGCAAAUGUCCUUCACUAGCUCCGUUAUUAACAGCGGUCCUUGUCCAGGCAGGACCUCAGGUUUUUCAAACUGCAACCCUGCAAAUGCUGAGCUAAAAUACCCAACGUAACACGGACUUUCUCUUUGGUAACAAAAAAUUAUCAGUGUUGGAGAGAAAAACAAGAAAAAUUAUUCUUGUAACCCUUUAAUGAUACCUAAGGGGCAAAAUUAGAAGCUGCUAGAGCAACCAAACUAUUUUUCCAUGAUUAUUUUUCUCAGCUGAGACAGCUGAGAGCUCGUCAGAGGAGUCACCCACCUGGUUUAGGAUUUGGAAUCAAGACAAUUUAUGCUGUGACAUGAAUCAAAUCUAAGCAAUGCAGCUGGCUACUCGGCCCUGCAUUCUCACCAACUCAAGAAGAUCUUCCGAGCAAAGACGCAAUGUGCUAAAAGAAAACAAAUCAAAGAACUGAAAUAAAGCAAAACCAAGGUAAACCAUGAUAAAGCAAACCCAAGGGAAGGAGCAUAUGGGCACACAGUAUGUUCUCGACGCUGCUUCACCACACACACACACACACACACACACACGUGAACCAAAAGGGGUAUUUUGGAGAAGGUCACAUCCAAGGAUAACAAAACACAGCAAAAGCAAAACUAAAAAAGAGCAAAUAAAUGUUAAAUAACAAAUAUUUAUGAAAAUGCAGCCAGGAAAGAAGUCGAGAGGGACUGUGGUUCAGUUCACUUCCUCCUGAGGAGUCCACUGCUCUGCCUUUAUAAGAGACGGCACUUUGCACUUGACCUUCAAACCGCCCUUAGCCGUGAUCAGCCCCUUUUCAGAGAAGAACAAAAAGCCGCAGAAGCUGAAGGCCUGACCUAUGUUGCGUUCCCAGAGGGCAGCAGAGCUGAGCUGGAGCCCAGCGCGUCUCUCAUCCGCCCCAGGCAUCUCCCACUCCAUCUUGUGGGGCUGCUGCUGAACAGAGCCAUCCACGUUUCUGGGCCCUCCCUGCAAACAUUCUCAACCCAGGAAGUGCCCAACACACCAAGUGUCCAUCAGGUUCAUACUUACCAACAGGGGGCCUCCUAUGGCCAAGGCCAGCACCCUGGGAUUCAGGGGUUUUAGAGCCUGGGCUCUCCAUCAUCAAAGCCAAAUGCCACACACCCUUAAGGACAGGGGGAGCAACCCAGGUGGAUCUGGGGAGGAUUCCUGUCAGGAACACUGUCCCCAUCUCCAGCUGCCUCAUGCCCACUGUCACUUGCCGCCAAGAGCAGGAACUGGCCUCCCUCUGUGCAGCGGCUUAGCUUGGUACUGUCUGCUUAAGUUCACCACCCCGAAGUGGGGCUAGGCCUCACCUGUGCUGCCUGCACCCAGAAGAUGCUCAGUCAGCGUCCACUCAGUGAAGGAAGAAAAACGGUGUCUCCUAACUUCCCGCCCACUUCAUUUAACUCUCCCACAAGUCAGUUAGAGACUGAGAAACCCAUCAGCAUGCUUUGCGCUUUGACAUGUCAUAGCACCAAACCCAGUCCCUGGAUCUGCUCUGUGGGGCGUUUGAUUUCAGGCCAUCUGAGUAGACUCCCUGCUGAGAAACAUCCCGCCCACAAAGCCUGAAAUGCACUUUUUCAAGUCAAAACACUGUUUGCUUGGAGGCAAUGCAAACACCAGCGGGCAGGGUACUCCGUCACUCCAUGAGCACUGUGCCAUCCAUGGGCACCAGCUAACAGAGCACAGGCCAUGGGCCAGCUACAGACUGCUGUAAAAGGAGAGCAGGGAGGGCAACAGGGACCGGACUCGGCUCCCUAAGCAGGCAGAGAAAGCAGCCUGGCUGGGGUGGGGAGUGCCUGGGCGGGAGGCAGGGUGGGGCACGUACCCCGGCCCACGGGCAGGGCCUCAGCGUUGCAGCACUGGUCCACCAGCUGGUGGCAGUGCUCCGUCAGGGCUUCCAGCUGGGCCUUGUCACAGGACACCCCCAGGAAUCUGGCCAGCUGCUCCACCAUCGUCACCAGGUCCUGGAAGACAAGUGCAGAGAGCAGAGCAGCCCAUCAGAGGCGGGGCCUUUUACUGGACACGACCCCAGGCUGGGCACACGCUGAGGACUUUUUACACACGGCCUUCCUUACUUAAUGCUCACAAGGCUGACAUCAGCCUUGUCCAGAAAUAACACUAAGAGGUUAAGAAAUCGCCCAAGUGUGCUCAGCUCUCACGUGGAGAUCUUGAAUUCAAACCCUGGUCCUCCAGGGAAUUGGGUUGCAGACAUGAGGUCUUAAUAGAGGUGUGGUUAAGUUUUAACAGGAGCAAGAAGUAAAAAACAUAUUUCAGAACAUGGUUCUUGUGAGGAGCAAGACCUAAUGGGCUCCUCUUUCCCUUCCUGCUGCCUGUCAGCUGGCGUCUGGGCUGGCCCUUGGGAGCGCAGGGAGGCCCCUCUGGUCUCCAGAUGGCCCUGCACUGGGCAGGGAGCCCGCUUCAUCACAGGCAAGAUUCCGUCAUGCCUGCCAUACCCUGCCCCAUUAUUUUACCACGCCUGACAGCGGAAUGUCACUGAUGUGGCUAACCGUCUUGAGGGGGCCAUUCCCCAGCCCCCCACCCCUGCCACUUUCUCCCCAAGAGAUGAGGCUCCUCGUCUUCUCAAUCACAGCCCUGAGCUGUCACCUAGAGGUGCCUUGGUCCCA
rnacentral:lncRNA from 1 species